AAAUGUACUUUAUUGCUCACUUUUAUAGUAAAAAUUGAAUGAUGCAAAGAUUAGUAUAUCCUCUGAGCAAGGAUGAAACACAAGUUUGUGAAGUAUUCCAUCUCUUA